rnacentral:rRNA from 1 species
CACGUAGGGGGCGAGCGUUGUUCGGAAUUACUGGGCGUAAAGGGCAUGUAGGCGGUCUUGUAAGCUUGGCGUGAAAUACCACGGCUCAACCGUGGGAAUGCGUUGAGAACUGCGAGGCUUGAGUGACGGAGAGGGAGCUAGAAUUCCUGGUGUAGGGGUGGAAUCUGUAGAGAUCAGGAAGAAUACCAAUGGCGAAGGCAAGCUCCUGGCCGAUGACUGACGCUGAGGUGCGAAAGUGUGGGGAUCAAACAGG